UACGGAGGGUGCAAGCAUUAAUCGGAUUUAUUGGGCGUAAAGGGCGCGUAGGCCGAGAUGUAAGUCAGAUGUGAAAUCCCUGGGCUCAACCCAGGAACUGCAUUUGAAACUACAUUUCUAGAGGGUAGGCGGAGAAAAUGGAAUUCCACAUGUAGCGGUGAAAUGCGUAGAUAUGUGGAGGAACACCAGUGGCGAAGGCGGUUUUCUAGCUUACUCCUGACGCUGAGGCGCGAAAGCAAGGGGAUCAAACAGG
rnacentral:rRNA from 1 species